rnacentral:tRNA from 1 species
GAGAUGGGUAACAUGGUCUAUGAUUCCAGCCCGGGGCGCUGGGGGCCGUGGGUUCAAAUCCCACCCACCCCACCA